AGGAUAUGUGCCCACGGCCGGGCGCCAUCCUAGUGGUCAUUCGACUCCUUUGCUCAGUAUUGAAAUGACUGAUUUGGAUGAGGCUGAUAUUCAUUUUCCGCUUGUUGAACCCACCGUCAUUCCAAGUGGUGAGUUGCGUAAUUUCAGCGCCUUGGAUGACAACACCCAACGUUAGCUCAUGGAUAUCAUCCAAAGUGGAUUCUUUGCCAAAAUGGAUCUCUAUCAACGCUAGCUUUUGUGGGAGAAGCGUCAUUACUUGACGGAUGAACCUGCCGCUUUGACCAAAGUACUUCAGGUGGCCCAUCAUAAGACAACAGCAUCGUUCUGCAUGCGGGAUUGAGCGGCAAAAUGGGCAGGCCUUUAGGCUUAGUUCACCCAGUGCUGCCAAGGAACAGGAGCCCAUCAAGUUUGAAUUAACGGACUUAGAGUGGCUAUAAAGCGAAUUUGAUUACAAUAAUCAUCGAUUAUUGAAGUGUGCUCAAUAAAGAAAUGGAUGUGGGUAGUUGCCCAUAGCCAUCUUGCAGAGCUGACUGAGGCUUUUUCAUUUAGUGAUUGACGUGCUGCUGAUGAGACCACAUUCACUAUGGCGAACUACGACGGUACGAGUUCCUCAGUUCCAAAAGUAG